UGCGUAGGCGGCGUCGUAAGUCAGAAGUGAAAGCUCACAGCUUAACUGUGAAAUUGCUUUUGAUACUGCGGUGCUUGAAUUAGGUUGAGGUUAGCGGAAUGUGACAUGUAGCGGUGAAAUGCAUAGAUAUGUCAUAGAACACCAAUUGCGAAGGCAGCUGGCUAGGCCUAUACUGACGCUCAGGCACGAAAGCGUGGGGAGCGAACAGGAUUAGAUACCCUGGUAGUCC
rnacentral:rRNA from 1 species